GCGAAGUAAAAAAAAAAAAAACGAGAGAAAAAUCCCAAACCCCUCUCCUCUCUCUCUCCCUCUCUCUCUCUCCCUGCAUUAAAAUCAGAACCUCUUUCUUCUCUGCAAAUGGAAGUCUAUGUAUAGGCAUCGAAAUUUAAGAAAAUUACAAUAAAAUAUCCUCUCUUCUAUUUUAAAUCUCUCACAACCCUAGCAUUUCUUCUCUCAAUCUCUGGAGAGAGAGAGAGAGAGAGAGAGAGAGAGAGAGAGAGAGAGAGAGAGAGAAUUGCAGAGAAUUUUCAUAAUCCAUGGCAGCUGUUGCAGAGAAUGCGAUCGCCUCCAACGAUCAGUUCCGUCAUCGUUCUUCCACUGCUUCUGUUGGUUCUGCUGCCUCCGAUGAUUCGAAAUCCGAAUUCCAACGCGACGUUCGGAAGCUUGUCGAUUUGCUGUCCAAGUUGAAUCCUUCUGCGAAGGAAUUCUUUCCUUCUUCGUAUUCCGCCGAAAACCGGUCGCAGAGUAAGGAUUCCAUCAGUGACGGAUCGUCGAACAAUCGAAGGAGGAAGAAUAAUUACAAUCAGUGGAGGAGGAGGUUGAAUGGGAGAGGUCUUAGAGCUCAGAGAGAAGAUAGCAUUCGGCGAACUGUGUAUGUUGCUGAGAUUGAUCAGCAUGUGACUGAGGAGCAACUUGCUACUCUAUUUGCUCACUGCGGACAAGUAGUUGACUGUCGUGUUUGCGGUGACCCCCAUUCAGUUCUUCGAUUUGCAUUUGUAGAGUUUGCUGACGAGCAAGGUGCAGCAGCAGCCCUAAGCCUGUCUGGGACCAUGCUAGGUUACUAUCCUGUCAGAGUUUUGCCUUCAAAGACUGCUAUCUUGCCUGUGAAUCCAACGUUUCUUCCGAGGUCAGAAGAUGAACGGGAAAUGUGCGCCCGGACAGUUUAUUGUACUAACAUUGAUAAGAAGGUUUCUCAAGCUGAUGUAAAGAUUUUCUUUGAAACAUAUUGUGGUGAGUUUGUGCUGUACAGGUUUCUCGCCUGAGGCUUCUGGGGGAUCACUUACAUUCAACGCGCAUUGCAUUUGUUGAGUUUGUUUUGGUCAACUGACAUACCACCAGCUGAGAUGGCUGUGACAUUCUUCCCAUCUUGGAGGCACCACUGCAGCGACCACCCUCGUCAAGUUUUCAUGGAAGAACUCAGCUCCAGACAUGAAUAUAUUUCCUUCUGAAAUUGAGAGUCCAUCUUCAACUUGACCAUGUUGAAUCAGACCGUCUCAUCCAAGUGAGCUCCACAUAACAAGUGACAAGCCAAAACUCUCUGUUCUGGCCUGAAUGACUUCCUGACUAAAAAGAUUCCAACAAGCUGGUUGGUGACCGGAUUUUGUCAUUGAAGAACCCACUAAACUCGGCCUCAGUCUCUGCUGUCUCACCCAAAAAAACCUUUCUAGUUCCUGAAGUCCGCGUGUUGUUCAUGGUUUCAUCCUCAAUUUCAGCUAUGACAAAUGAACUGGAUGAGUAAUUCACCCAAACAUGAAGACGUGCAUGAGCAACUUGCAUUUUUCUUCACAGUUCAUGAAUGUCAAGAACUACAAACAUGAUGUGAGACUUAAGCUUCACUAAAAUGCUAGAUUGUAAAUAUUGGGUAUCAAAUAAUUGAAUAGUUGUGAAGUUCAUUACAUGAACUGGCUGGGAAUGUUUCCAAUUAAGCCAGACUCCAAUGUUUGUUUCCUGCAAUUUAAAAAUUGGUUCACCAAAAUUUCAAUCCCUUCCUCUUUUAUGGUGAUAAUGAAAUGAAGGGCUCCAGACAAUCUCACUACCACGAUAUUGAAAUGAGACUGGACACAACGAGCCCUAAUUAUCAGCAAUGUGAGUAUAAGUCCUCGAAAAACUUGGCUAGGCAACAAUCCUUUCAAAAUCUGACAGCCCCCCCUUACCAACUCGAAAUCAAACUGAAUUUCUCGGUUUAUCAAAUUAAUUUAUUAAAAGAAACAAAUUGAAGGAGUAAGAAUCAAACCCCAGCUUUCAGGAAGCAUAGCAAUGCUCUUAACCAUCAGAGUAUAUCUGUUUUAUAUUUCCUUCUACUAUAUAAAUAUUUUAAACAUUGAUUACCCUUCGUGCCAACCCCAAUUAGUUGGGAUAAGGCAUGGAUGAUGCUGAUGAUUACCCUUUGUAAUAUUUUUAAUUGAGUUGACUAGGGUCGAGUUUUCAAGUCAACCUGACCUGGCUGAACACCGUUUUGAGUCGAGCUUACGGGUUUUUGAACUAUGUGGGGAUUAGAGAAUAACAAGGGAGAUAAUGGGUGCUCUUGCCGAACUCUACACUGCACUUUGAGAAAAUGUUUGGGGCUUUUGUUUAUAAGAAUGGAGAACCACAUAGAAGACAUGCAAGCUUCAAUCCAUUGAGAAGGUAUUAGGGCUUGUUUGGAUGCACCCCCAUAGGUAGCCUCCCUUCCCAUAGUACUUAUUUAACAGAAGUUAGUUUGGUAGCACCUUCUUAAAAGUAGCUUGUUAGCUUAAACUUGCUUAUGGCCAUAAAGUAUUUUUUAUUUUGCUUUUUAUUUUUUUUUACUCUCACUCAUCUCUCGACCUGAUGGAUGGUCCACAUCAAAGGUGGGCUCCACAUGAUGGGUAGUGGACAUUGAAGGUGGGCUUCACAUGAUAGACAAUUAACAUUGAUGGUAGGAUCCACAUGAUGGAUCAACCACAUCAUGAUGGGUCCCAUAUAAUGUAUGGUACGCAUCAUUGGUUGGCCCCUAAUGAUGAAGGAUCCACAUCCAAGGUGGAUCAUUGAAGGUGGGCUUCACAUGAUCGACGAUUAACAUUGAUGGUGGGACUCACAUGAUGGAUCGCCCACAUCAAGAUGGGUCCCACAUAAUGUAUAGGCUGCAUCAUAGUUUGACCCCUAAUGAUGAAUGAUCCACAUCCAAGGUGGGCCUUGCAUGGACGGCCCACUUUGAAGGUGGGGCCCACACGAUAGGCGGUUCGCAUCAAAGGUGGGCUCCACAUGAUGGGCAAUGGACAAUGAAGGUGGAUCCCACAUGAUGGACAAUUAACAAUAAUGGUGGGCCCCACAUGAUGGAUAAGCCACAUCAAGGUGGGCCCCAUAAAAUGGACGGUCCACAUCAAAGGUCGGCUCCUAAUGAUGAAUGACCUACAUCUAAGGCAAGCCUUGCAUGAUGGAGGAUCCACUUUGAAGUUGGGCCCCUCGUGAUGGAUGAUCCACCUCUAAUAUCCAACACGAUGGACGGCCCACAUCCAAGUGGGCCCCGUAUGAUGGAUAGCCCACAAUCAAGGUGGGCUGAGCAAGGUGGAUGGUCCAGAUUGAAGGUAGGUCCCACACGAUGGAUAGUUCACAUUGAAGACAGCCAAGGUGGGCUAGCAUGGUGAACGGUCCAUAUCAGAGGUUGGCCCCAUAUGAUAGACGGUGGAUAUUAAAGGUCGACCCACAUGAAUUAGAAAAAAUUGGAAAAGAUUUUAAUGGAAGAGAUUUUAAAAAAAUGGAAGAGGAGAGAAAGAUGAGAAAGAGAGAUUAAUGGAAGAGAUUUUAAAAUUACUUUGUGAUGCUAGAAGCCAAACAUACUUUUUAACUUUUUGGCGGAUAAGUACACAGUUUACCAAAAAUACUCAUAUGUUGAAUAAAUAGAAACCAACAUAAGCUACUUGAAGCAUGAGUAGCUUAAGCAACGACUUAUGAUCCAAACGGGCCCUUGUGUCUGAUUUUUCCCUUUGAAUUUGGACCACUCAUUAUUUUACUUUUAACCAUCCAUUAGAUAGCCACUGGUUUGGUGGUUAGGGUUUCAUGAUUAGUGUCUCUCUCUCUCUCUCUCUCUCUCUCUCUCUCUCUCUAUGUGUGUGUGUGUGUGUGUGUGUGUGUAUAAUGGGACCUGCAAUUUCGAUGGUUUGAAUACUGUACAUCAACUGCCACAUGUGAGGAGGACGAGUCAGCACCAUUUUUUAGGUGCAAAACUAACAUAAGAAUCUAUCCCCCCAUUUACCUGCCUUGUUUACCCCUCCUAACUACUUUCUUCUGUCCUGACAGGCAGAAAGUGCUAUUAUUGCACUGAACUGUAGUGGGAUGGCAUUGGGAUCUCUACUCAUUAGGUA